GCCCCCGUUGUCUAAUGGUUAUGACGUCAGACUUCUAUGCUUUGUCCCGUAUCUGGGUCCUUAAGUAAAACGAUUAUCUGGAGGUUGCGGGUUCGAGUCCCGCCGGGGGUU